rnacentral:lncRNA from 1 species
ACAAAUGUUCUUAAGGCCAGAAAAGAGGACAAAGAAAGCGAACAGAAAUGGGCGAUGAAGCCAACGGCUAAAUGCUACAACAUUAAACAGAGAAUUCUGCAAAUGGAUUUCUACAGAUGGUAUUUGUAUCUUUCUCUUUAACAUUUAGGUAUAAUUUCAAAGUUAAAUUGUGUGUUUUUCUUUUACUCAAAUCCAAUUUCUUUUGCUACUACGCUCAUGAUGAAUUGUAGCGAACGAUGAUGGUAGAAAAGAUUACGAUCAUAUGAUUAUCGAUAUGUUAAAGGAAAAGGAUUGGUAUGAAAUGAAUCGUAGUAAUCGUAUGAGUAGAAAAACAAAUUGCACACCAGGUGUUCGAUUAUUUGCCAAUACGAGCGAUGAGUUGGUAUAGUUGUGCUAAUUGCUGGUAUACUUGUACUGUACAAGAUUUGAUGCAUUUGCGUUGGUUAAGUGAUGCAUAGUAAUGAACAAUACUAUAAUAUUCAUAGCCUUUGACUAUUAUGAUUAAACAAAUGAAUCCUAAACAUCUAUUUCCUAAUAAACUUCUCAAAAAGGGCUUAACUUUGGUCGUGCUUCCCAGUUCCCAUUGCCUUUUAAGUCUAGCAUACCAGAAAAAACUAACAUGGUGUGUUGUCAUCAUUUUACUUCAAUUCUUGAUUAAUCCUUGUAUAAAAUAUAAAGGUUUUUCAAGAAUUUAUCUGUAAUGCUGAUAGACAAUAAGGAUGAUGAUAAGAUAUAAUGAUAAGUGAUAACCCUAAAGAAUAUUAUCGUGUAAAAUGUGAAAUACAAAACACCAUGUAAUGGAAUUUAUGAUCCUUAAAGUUGAACUUUUUUUAGCUUCAAAAGAUAGGGGACAACCAACUCUUCUUGGGUGGGAAGCGUCGAAUAUCUUGUGAAUUUCAAUUAUGCAGAAUAUUAUAUGAAAAAUAGGAAAUUUUCAAAACAAUAAUGUGAAAUUGUCAACAAGUCAAAAGAGUUGACCAUUUGUGCGCAUGCUCAGUUGCAUCUUGUAAUGUAAGAACUUGAAGAGGUCAUCCUCCACCUUGCUUCUUGUUGUCUAACUUAUUCAUUGAUACUUGAAUACUGCAAUUACAUUCUUAAGAUUCCACAUAAACCAUAUCACCAUAACAUGAAUCCAAUAUUGUUCUUCAAGUUUUGUUUAAUGGGUAGAGGAGGGAAAGUUAAAACUUGACAAACUUAGUGCCUUCUUAUUUAGGAAAUUAAUCCACAUCCUUUUUGGGAAAUAUUCCAAGAUUACAAAUAAUUGAGUGUCUUGAUUUGGGUCAAUGUUAUAUAAAGAAAUAUAUGCAUUUUAGCACAUCUAAUUAUACACAUUAUAGCUGUUGUAGAGAUUUUUCACAUUCUACAAUAUGAGUUUGACUUAAGAUUUGAUGAGAUAAUGUGGUGAAAUGACUUCAAAUUAUUUAUAAUCGUAAAAAAAUGUCUAGAAAUACAAUGACACAAUUUGACAUGUGGAUUUUUUUUAGUUGUAAAGUGUAGGAGGCAAUUGACUCUUCCUUCUCAGAGGCGUCGAAAGAAACAUCUAUUCUAUCCUUUAGUUUUGACAUACUUAUGUGGUUUGACUUUUGACCAUUACACAA